CCGGGUGGGAGUGACUGUGGCACAGACCACAAUGGAGCCACAUCUUCUAGAAGCCUGUGUGCGUGAUGUACUGAAUGACACAGCCCCACGAGCCAUGGCUGUGCUGGAGUCACUACGGGUCAUCAUCACCAACUUUCCCGCUGCCAAGUCCUUGGACAUCCAGGUGCCCAACUUCCCAGCUGAUGAGACCAAAGGCUUCCAUCAGGUUCCCUUUGCACCCAUUGUCUUCAUUGAGAGGACUGACUUCAAGGAGGAGCCAGAGCCAGGAUUUAAGCGCCUGGCUUGGGGCCAGCCUGUGGGCCUGAGGCAUACAGGCUACGUCAUUGAGCUGCAGCGUGUUGUCAAGGGCCCCCGUGGUUGUGUAGAGAGUCUGGAGGUGACCUGCAGACGGGCAGAUGCUGGAGAGAAGCCAAAGGCCUUUAUUCACUGGGUGUCACAGCCUUUGAUGUGUGAGGUUCGCCUCUAUGAGCGACUGUGAGUGGUGAACAGAGCUGGGGUGGGGGCAGGUACAAGAUGCACAUUGCCUGCUGUGGCUGCCCAGCUGGGGGUGUGACCUUCACUUUGGCUGCAGAUUCCAGCACAAGAACCCUGAAGAUCCUACUGAGGUGCCUGGUGGAUUUUUAAGUGACCUGAACCUGGUAGGUUCGUGAGGUUUGGGGUGAGGGAGGUAGGCCUCCCUGGUUGGAUGGUUGCCUGAGUUCCCUGCCUGCAGGCAUCACUACACGUGGUGGAGGCAGCAUUAGUGGACUGCUCUGUGGCCCUGGCAAAACCCUUUGACAAGUUCCAGUUUGAGCGUCUUGGAUACUUCUCCGUGGAUCCAGACAGCCAUCAGGGAAAGCUUGUCUUUAACCGAACUGUCACACUGAAGGAAGACCCGGGAAAGGUGUGAGCUGGAAACACUGAACCUACCUCAUCCUCCUGGAGGGUGGGGCUACCCUCGCUACCCCAAAUUCCAUG
rnacentral:sRNA from 1 species